AUUGAACAUUCUUUGUCUCCUACAGCACAUUCUACCUGAGUUAUACGUUGUACUUUUCUCACAUUAUUCUGUUUAUUGCUUUGUAACUGUCAUCUUUUAUAUUUUUCCUGGUUCCAAGAGGGAUCUCGUGUUCAGAGUAAAGAAAUACAUUAAGGCAGCAGCUUUUCCAGAGACCUAAUGGCUGCAUCAAGCUCAUCUCUGAGUGUGUUUGCCCUGCGUCUGGGUCCAGGACAGGAGUUACUCUCGUCUCUGCAGGCAUUUGUAGAGGAGAAGCAGCUCAAAGCACCGUUCAUCAUCACAUGCGUGGGAAGCGUGACAAAGGCAAAACUACGGCUGGCCAACGCAACGGCAGACAACACUAAUCAGGUGAUUCAGCUGCAGGAGCGUUUUGAGAUUGUAUCUCUUGUAGGCACAUUAAACCCAGAAGCUCAUCUACAUAUCUGCCUCGCUGAUAGGGAAGGCCGGACCGUCGGCGGUCAUGUGCUGGGUGACCUGGAAGUGUUCACUACAGCAGAAGUGAUUCUAGGGGAAGCCACUGAUCUGUACUUUACCAGAGAGAUGGACAGCAGGACCGGUUUUCCUGAGCUGGUUAUUAAAAGCCAUCAGGAGCAGACAUAACUUAUUUUAAUGCAAUACUGAGAAUAAUGUGUAUACAGAAAGUUUAGAUAUACAGUAAUUCUAUGUAAUACAAGUAUCUUUAUUUUAAAUUGUUCUCUUGUACUUUUACAUAUCAAGCAUUGAAUGAAGAUUUUUAAUGAUUAAUUAAUUAAUUUCUCAAAAACAAAUUGAUUGAAAUAAUGAUGAGGUCAUCAGUUGAAAGAUCAUGUGAUUGGACACCAUGAGGCAUUAUGAAAGACUGAAGCGCUUUGUUCACUUCUGAAAAUAGAGAAAGCACCCAGAUGAAUCAAUACAGCAUUACACAACCUAAUAUUUUAUUACUGCAAUGCAAAAGAAAAAAAGUGAUUGUAUAAUGAGUUAUGUUCAUUUCGAGUUCAGCCUCCAGCAAAGUCCUAAGCAGAUCACAGGUACUUCAAUCAGUACGGCUUAUAAAUCAGCAGGGCUCAUUAAAUGCAUCAGGAAUUAUAAGCUCUUGAUACAUGUCUGUUCAACAUUUCACAAUUAUGUAAUAAAAGAAACCUGUUGGUAAUUUCCUGCUCAGCAUGCUCAGAGGUAGAUCUGCCAAAAUGACCUUGAAAUCAGCAAGACUCUGAAUAUAUACAUGAGCUUCAAAAGAACAGACACUUGUCUUUUAGGCAGCAUGAUUAUGUGGCCAUCAGCUGCCACAGAACACUAAAUUUCUGAGACAUUAGUUAAAGGCAUUGGCUGAUUUGCCUCUGCUGUCCCAUCGGGAACGUUUAAAUAUAAGUGGUGCUUGAGAAAACGGCAGUGCAGUAAUGGUGGAAAGAUUUUGCUUUUUCUUUACAUCAGGCUAAAAAUAGUAUAAUGAUACGAUGCUGAAGCUGUGUGUCAGUCUAGUUAACACCCUUAAAGAAAAUGGGCUAAGGAUACAUUACCAUUUUCAUUAUUUACUUUACUCUGACAAAAUAUCGUGCCCUUGUAUCCUCCUGCUAACACCGCAUGCAGUCACUACAUAGUUAAACAGAUUCUGAAAAAUAAAACGCAUAGCCAGAAUAUAAUCAUUUAUUACAAAUAUUUCUACUGCUAAUAGCAGUAUAUUAUGUAAUCUGUUAAUUGUGACCUAAGUACAAACACCAGAUUUUAUAGUGUCAAAAUGUUUACAAGAACUGGAACCAGGAAACAUGCUGGGCAACACUCACUGAUUUAUGAUUUGGCCUUUCCUGAUAUUUCAUAAGCAUACUUCAUACCCCUAAUCUACCCUUCCUGCACAGUGAGGAGAACCUUAAUGGAAGAAAAGAGAAACUAGAGUUCACUAUUUCAGAGCUGCACUGCUGAUUCAUUAGGCUGUUGCAUUCCAGGUCAGGUUCUCUACCAAGCCAUCAGAGGGCACUCUCCAAUGUUUUUUGAACAGUGACUUCUUUGUUAAUCACAAUUAUUUUAUUUUAUUUUAUUUUUUGUUCUCCCUGAUUUUUCUCCCUGCACAACUUCUGCGCUUUCAACUCAUAGUAGCUUAUUUGCUGUUGAUUUGUCAGACCGUUGUUGCCGGCACUUGUUGUAUGCAGCAAAUCAUGUUCCUGAUUUUUGAUUUUCUCAGUUUAUAAAUCUUCCAGUGACUUUGUUUAUUCUGGUUGUAUUUUAUUCAAACUCAAAAAGGAUUAUGUUUGCAUCCAACUUCCAUAUGAUACAACAUCUUUGGUCCAUUAGAAGUCAGUUUCCAUUGAUGGAUGUGGUAAAUUUCUGGAGAUACGUAACAUACGUAAAAUUUCUAAUACGUUAGCAACAGGGUGUGAAUACAUUUGUAAACAGAUUUAACAGACUGGCUUAUUAAAAAUAUGUACUGUUCCUUCAUGAUCUCACAUUGUACCACCAAUAUAAAGAAAUUGAUUUGUGACACACGUACACAAUAUUACUUGAUGGGCAUCUUCUGGUCCUCACUUUUCCUCCACAGUUCACUUCACUUCAACUCCACUUUCCAGAUAUUUAUAACACAACAUAAACACUUACUAUACAAGACUCAUAUAUCUAUUAUGACAUCUAUGACAUUCCCCACCUCAUGAUAUGUAGAUGGAAAAGAAAAUAUUCCUGUAAUUCUUCUUCUCUUCUUCAGCUAGCAUCUCCCACACUUUCUCCAACAGGAGAGCUAGACACUGAGCUUAUCGUCAGAUACUUUUCGGACCUUUAUCAAGCGUUAUGUCUCCCUGUAGACUGGUUCCUGAAUCCUUUUUCAAUUUACCUCACUGAUCUCCAGGAUCACUGGGAAUGUGGAAGAUAAUCAGUCCCAGAGGGAAGAGGGGUCAACAUUCUCCACCACCAGACUGUGCAAACACACCAAAACAAAAGGCCAGAGAUGCCUGUAGAAAUAAGCUUUGUGCUGAAGCACUUGUGGCCAGUUCCAUUUAAGUCUGCAUUUGGCAGAAUCCUGUUGUUCCCCCAACAUGCACUUAGGCCUGUCUCUCCUAAUGAGACACAGUGUUGAUUAGAGAUGUUCAGCAGGCUCAUUCACCGUCUGCAUGUGUCUUAAAGUAUAUGGCUGAUGGGAAAGGUUACUGUAACUGAGGGCAGGUGCUCAGAGUGUGAGGUAGAUAUGGGACUAUGGGACUAUGCUAUAAUAUAUGUGUAUGUAUAGUGCUUCAUUUUCACUUUCCCAUCAUGCAAUUCUAAGAAUAUCAUAUCAACAAUUCCACACAUUCCUCACCAAGUAGUGUCCAGAACCCAGGUCUCUGUGUUAAAGAGAAUGUAUUAGUAUUUUUAGUCUGAUCACUUCAUUAUCUGACUCGCUGUUGCGCUCUCUCUCUCUCUCUCUCUCUCUCUCUCUCUCUCUGUCUGCCAUAUCCUCCUCAUGUAUUGCUUUGUAUCAUGGCUAUUAAUGUGUACACUGAUCUGCUGUAACAUGCCUGAUAUAAGUCACAUGAGAUUAACACAGAUUAACACCCUCCAAGACAGAGGGUUUUUUUUUUUAUGUCUGUUCAUCAAAAAAUUAUGCCACAAUUUACUUUCUUGCAACUAAAUAGUAUUAGAAUACUAAAUUUGAAAUCCACAGCAUAUUUGUGACAUUGUGCAAAAAUGUCUAAUAAUACUCACUGAGAUUCGGUUUGAUAUGUGCCAAAAGAAAAACGGAAAGAAUGGUCUGUGCUAAAAUUUGCGAGAUCUUGAGUAGAUGACUGUCAGAUGGAUUAAAAAUUCAAAAAAGUAUUAAAGAUGACAAUUUUUUGCAUGAGUUAUCUUCACUAUUGACUUUCAGCUUAUGAAUAUUGUCCUAACAUUCAUAUCUUCAGACUUUCAGCUUAUAUUCCUUAUGAAAUAAAAUGCAACUCAGUAUAUAAAUACACUAUGUUUCGAGGUUAAGUCAUAAAAUGAUCUUGAAUUUUGUUUUGCUGUUUCAGACAGUAUGUUUUCAUGCACUACACUCCAGGUGCAUAUUUAAUGUGCGUAGACAAAUCAAUAAAAACAUGACUGAAAGAGCAA